CAGCAGCUGGCCGAGUGGUUAGGCGAUGGACUAGAAAUCAAUGGGGUCGUCCCCGCGUAGUUCAAAUCUACCGGCUGCAGUUGA